GGUGACGUUAUUCUGCCAUACUCUGUCUCUGGUUGUCUUCCCCUGAUAUUCUUACCCUAAUCCUAACCAAUC